rnacentral:rRNA from 1 species
CAGCCGCCGCGGUAAUACGUAGGUGGCGAGCGUUAUCCGGACUUACUGGGCGUAAAGGGUGUGUAGGUGGCUGCCAUAGUCGGGCGUGAAAUCCCGGGGCUUAACCUCGGGUUUGCGUUCGAUACUUGGUGGCUGGAGUGCGGGAGAGGGAAGUGGAAUUCCCGGUGUAGCGGUGAAAUGCGUAGAUAUCGGGAGGAACGCCGGUGGCGAAGGCGGCUUCCUGGCCCGUUACUGACGCUGAGGCACGAAAGCCAGGGGAGCGAACCGGAUUAGAUACCCGGGUAGUCCUGGCUGUAAACCAUGGGCGCUAGGUGUGGGUGGUGGUGAGCCAUCUGUGCCGAAGCUAACGCGUUAAGCGCCCCGCCUGGGGAGUACGGUCGCAAGGCUGAAACUUAAAGGAAUUGGCGGG